GGUCUUGUAGUUUAUUUAAAAUAUAAAGUUGCAAACUUUAGGAAACAUUAGUAUUGUCGGGACUU
rnacentral:tRNA from 1 species